rnacentral:misc_RNA from 1 species
CCUCCUUAAAAGAUAAUCGCUUAGGAUAGGCGUUCACACGAAUAACUUGCUUUUACCUAAAUCAUUUCUUUACAGAUUUGAGAUUAAGGAGCGUUCUUUAACAUUUUUAUAAGUUCAAUCAAGUCACAUCAUAGUGUCUUAGUUUUUUAAUUUAGAUAUGAAUGAUGUGCAAAUGUCACCAAACCCGUCAUGUUUUAGAACAUAAGUUUUGGUGUACAUACUGCAAAGUAAUUUUGGCGAAUGACAAUAGAUACUUGGAAGAAACAUUAAUCAUUAAGUUGUUUUGAUGUUAUAUGGUCAAAGUAAUUAAGCGCAUACGGUGGAUGGCCUUGGCAAAGGGCGAAAUUCCAGCCACACUGGGCGGGCCGUUACUAAGGGGAUCCCGAACCUCGGUUACCAAGCCUUGGGGGGUAAAUCCAUGGGUCCAUAGCCUGUUUCCUGGGGGGAAAUUUGUUUAUCCGCCUUCACAAUUUUCCACACCAAACAUUACGAAGCCGGAAAGCCAUAAAAGGGGGUUAAAGGCCCUGGGGGA